GACGGAGGGUGCGAGCGUUAUCCGGAAUCACUGGGCGUAAAGCGUCUGUAGGUGGUGAUGCAAGUCACUGGUGCAAAACUCUGGCUCAACCGGAGGAAAGCCAGUGAAACUGCAUGACUAGAGUGUGGGAGAGGUAGAAGGAAUUCCCUGAGUAGCGGUGAAAUGCGUAGAUACAGGGAAGAACACCGGAGGCGAAAGAGUUCUACUGGAACACAAAUGACAUUGAGAGACGAAAGCUAGGGGAGCGAAUGGG
rnacentral:rRNA from 1 species